rnacentral:lncRNA from 1 species
CCUUUCUUCUUGUUUGUUGUUAGAGAUUUAUGAAAAUUUAUUUUAUUUGAUUCUUUUUGUCUGUUCUUUUAUUUGUUGUUGGAGAAUUAGAGAAUAACUUGUUACGGUAUAUAACCAUUUAUAUUGUAAUGGUUGAUGAUUAAAAUAAAUUUUAAAAUUUAUUUAAUUUAAAAUAAAUAUAAAAUUUAAUAAAUUUAAAAUAU